rnacentral:lncRNA from 1 species
GGCCUGUCUUUGGCCAUAUGUUAUGCUACAGCUGGCUUUUAAGCUUCCUUCUUCAAAAUAAUGCUUGGCUGUUAAUUAUGUGAAGGGUCAAAGUAAAGCAGGCUAAGAACAAAAACCUGAGGAAUACUGAAUUGAAUUGCAUAAAAAAUACAACAUUUUGUCUUUGAUCCAAGUGGAAGUACUCUGAGGACUCCUGCUUUAGGAAGCAGCUGAGCUCCGAUAUAAGAUGUGUUGAGUCAACAGGCUGGCCUUGGGAGCCUCACCCUUCCACGGGUGUAGGGUAUAAAUUCUGAUGCUCUGCUUCAUUGGCACCUCUUGUGCAAGAUGGGUACAAACAAGAUCCUGCUUUUCCUCUUAAGCGCAGCAAUUCUGGAUGCCACCUCAGAAACAACAACUGAAUACCCAUGGAGAACUGCACAAGCAACAACUGGAUACCCGAGUACCUACCCAUGGAGAACUACAUUUCCCACGUACACAACCACAGAUGUC